CACGUAGGCGGACUGGAAAGUUGGAGGUGAAAUCCCAGGGCUCAACCUUGGAACUGCCUUCAAAACUAUCAGUCUGGAGUUCGAGAGAGGUGAGUGGAAUUCCGAGUGUAGAGGUGAAAUUCGUAGAUAUUCGGAGGAACACCAGUGGCGAAGGCGGCUCACUGGCUCGAUACUGACGCUGAGGUGCGAAAGUGUGGGGAGCAAACA
rnacentral:rRNA from 1 species